GUUUUACUAAUUUAAAUAAAAUGUUAGUUUUGUAAACUAAAUAUAGGAUUAACCUGUAAAACU
rnacentral:tRNA from 1 species